CUGGUAGUCCACGCUGUAAACGAUGUCGAUUUGGAGGUUGUGCCCUUGAGGCGUGGCUUCCGGAGCUACGCGUUAAUCGACCGCCUGGGGAGUACGGCCGCAAGGUUAAAACUCAAAUGAAUUGACGGGGGCCCGCACAAGCGGUGGAGCAUGUGGUUUAAUUCGAUGCAACGCGAAGAGCCUUACCUACUCUUGACAUCCAGAGAACUUUCCAGAGAUGGAUUGGUGCCUUCGGGAACUCUGAGACAGGUGCUGCAUGGCUGUCGUCAGCUCGUGUUGUGAAAUGUUGGGUUAAGUCCCGCAACGAGCGCAACCCUUAUCCUUUGUUGCCAGCGGUUCGGCCGGGAACUCAAAGGAGACUGCCAGUGAUAAACUGGAGGAAGGUGGGGAUGACGUCAAGUCAUCAUGGCCCUUACGAGUAGGGCUACACACGUGCUACAAUGGCGUAUACAAAGAGAAGCGACCUCGCGAGAGCAAGCGGAACUCAUAAAGUACGUCGUAGUCCGGAUUGGAGUCUGCAACUCGACUCCAUGAAGUCGGAAUCGCUAGUAAUCGUAGAUCAGAAUGCUACGGUGAAUACGUUCCCGGGCCUUGUACACACCGCCCGUCACACCAUGGGAGUGGGUUGCAAAAGAAGUAGGUAGCUUAACCUUCGGGAGGGCGCUUACCACUUUGUGAUUCAUGACUGGGGUGAAGUCGUAACAAGGUAACCA
rnacentral:rRNA from 1 species